rnacentral:misc_RNA from 1 species
GUGAAGGUUGAUCAUGGUGAUGUGAAACUCUACCAAAAUCUCCAUCUGCAGAGCGGAGGCAUGUUGCUGUAGAAGCGCACUGGAAGGAAACUCAGAUCACUGAGGUCCAGCCUCACUGCAGCCUUUGGUUCUUUCCUUGGCCCAUGAAGAGUCUCUUAGCCUCACUGAACCUAUUUUCCUCCUCUGUACAAUGUUCACAAUUAAGUCCUUGCUUAAUGCACAGUAGUGUGGGGAAAAUAUUAGAAUACCAUUUACAUUUGUAUGAUCUUUGAUAACUAAUGAAACCCUUCUCCUCUGGUUUUUCUUUUUUUCUCAUACAAAUGCAAUGAAGUAGUUGGCCUAGGCAAAGAAUUUAUGACUGAUCUCAAAAGCAAAUGCAACAAAACAAAAAUAGACAAAUGAG